UCCCCAAUGGAGUCAACUUCUGCUUUGUCCC
rnacentral:piRNA from 1 species